UAAAGUAGAAAACUAUAUACUAAUAUUCCCCACUCCCCCAAUUACGGCAGCCUCCUGCACAGGCCCCCAUGCCUCAUGGGAAGGUUACAACUUCUAGAGGCCUGCAGAAUCUUGUAAACAAAAUGGCGCAUGCACUUUUGCUUACGUCAUAGCCACUCCAUUAUAAGCAAUUUCGAACGUUAAAGUUUUAUUUGAGAACUAAAUCUAGUACAAAAGUUUAUCCCGAAGGCUUAAAGAGCUCAAAUUAAUUAAUAAAAAGUCGUAAAAGGACAAUUAAUUAUUAAAAUUUCUUAUUGCAUAUUUUCUUACCGCAGGCCCUGUUGGAAUUGAGUGUGACCUACCCAUGGUGCAGUAGGGUCUGCUGUGUAGGAGUCAACCAUUAUUGCAAAAACCAUAAUUAUAUUUUCCCACGUGUAUAUGUGAG